CGCCUGAUAAGCGUGAGGUCGGUGGUUCGAGUCCACUUAAGCCCACCA
rnacentral:tRNA from 1 species